rnacentral:rRNA from 1 species
CUCGUAGGCGGCCAACUAAGUCAGACGUGAAAUCCCUCGGCUUAACCGGGGAACUGCGUCUGAUACUGGAUGGCUUGAGGUUGGGAGAGGGAUGCGGAAUUCCAGGUGUAGCGGUGAAAUGCGUAGAUAUCUGGAGGAACACCGGUGGCGAAGGCGGCAUCCUGGACCAAUUCUGACGCUGAGGAGCGAAAAGCCAGGGGAGCAAACG